AAUGGAAUUGCUGGGUCAUAUGGUAACUCAGUGUUUAACUUUUUGAGGAACUGCCAGCUUGUUCUCCAAAGUGGUUGUACCAUUUUAUAUUCUCAUCAGCAGU
rnacentral:pre_miRNA from 1 species